GCAGUGGUGCGUGCCUUUAGUCCCAGCUACUCGGGAGGCUGAGGCAGGAGAAUCACAUGAACCCGGGAGGCAGAGCUUGCAGUGAGCUGAGAUCGCACCACUGCACUACAGCCUGGGUGACAGAGCAAGAUGCCAUCUAAAAAAAAAAAAAAAAAAAGGAGAAGAAGGGACCAAAUAAAAUACAUAGAGAAGUGGACAAAUCUGAGACGUGACUAAUGAUUUAGCUCUAAAAGGCCACAUGGCUUCCACAGUGGACGAAUCCUCUUUCGUUGUACUAGGUGGUUGGUAGAUAGUGGAGGGUAGAUAGGUGACAGGGCUGAAACAAAUCUGCCCAAAGAUAGCAGCAUAUGCUUAUUAUUUAGAAAUAUAAAAUGUGUACGUGCUGGAAAGAAACUGCCCACACAGCCAAAGUGGUUGCUUCUAGGGAGGCGGCGUGGGGAGACUGGGGAGCAGACAGGAAACCAGUGCAUGUUAUCUGCCUUUAGGGGCCCGUCAUCUGGGGUGUGGCUGUUUGAGGAUGGACUCCAGGUCACAGAGCCCCAGGAAUUGUUUGUAGACUGUCAUGUGUAUCUACAUGAGUCUGCAAACCGGCAGCACCGGACUCACCAAGGUCGAGAAGCGUGAUCGCUGCUGUUCCCUGCGUGCACACUGAGUGGUGUGCUAAGGACCUGCCCUGCAGGAGCAUGCAGGAGCCUCCCAGCAACUCUCCGAGGAGGCUCCAAAUGGAGAACCUGGAAGUCAGAGAGGCGACGUCACUCACCCAAGGUCUCCCAGCUCCUAGCUGGUAAGGGUGGGAAGAGAAUGCAAGCAGAUCUGCCUGACUUCAAAGCCAGUGGUUUUUUUGUUUUGUUUUGUUUUGUUUUCACAUAGAGACAGAGGCUAAGCACGGUGGUUCAUACCUCCCAACACUUGGGAGGCCCACACUUUGGGAGGCCAAGGAGGACAGAUCACUUGAGCCCAGGAGUUUGAGAUCAGCCUGGGCAACAUAGUGAGACCCCAUCUCUAUAAAAAAUUAGCCGGGCGUGGUGGUGUGUGCCUGUAGUCCCAGCUACUUGGAGUACUUAACAUGGCAUGUGCAAAUGCCCUGAGGCAGGUA
rnacentral:lncRNA from 1 species